GGAAGUUCUGGGGUACCCAGAAUCUGUGCAUCCUUUUUUUUUUUUUUUAGAAUCUGUGCAUCUAAGAUGGAACCCGUGGCCUGGAUGCCUCAGGUCUUCUGUGUCCUUUGUAAGGAAGACAAAUGGAUUUGUUUUUACAAAAAUUUUCCAAGAUGGGGAUCCCUGGGUGGCGCAGCGGUUUGGCGCCUGCCUUUGGCCCAGGGCGCGAUCCUGGAGACCCGGGAUCGAAUCCCACGUCGGGCUCCCGGUGCAUGGAGCCUGCUUCUCCCUCUGCCUGUGUCUCUGCCUCUCUCCCUCUCUCUUGGUGACUAUCAUAAAUAAAUAAAAAUUAAAAAAAAUUUUUUUCCAAGAUGUUAUAAGUUUUGUGAAUUUAAAUUCCAGCCACUCCAUCUACCUUAAUAGUGGUGUGUGAUGAUAGAUUCUGUUUUUUAUGGUAAGCUUACCAUCAGCCAGGAACUGUGUUAGGUGUUUUACACACAUUUUAAAAUUUAACUCUCAGAAACACUCCCAUCUGGUAUCUAUCAUUAUCUUCAGGUGAAAGGACUAUUUUAUAGGUAGUGAAACUAGGGUUCCUAGAGGUUAGAUAAUUUGUCCAAGGUCAUUAGGAGAGCCAAGACUGCAACUCAGUCUAAUUUUAACAUUUGAGUUUCUUCCAAUUUAAUCCAUGCCUUCUUAACACUGUAUUGCAGAACAAUAAAAACCAAAUGUAAUGACUUACUGUAAGAGCUAUAAGUAUCCUUAUGUUUUUUUUUCUAUUUUUAAUUGUGCCAAAAUACAUAUGACAUAAAAUUUUCCACCUUGCCUUUUUUAAGGGUACAGUUCAGUAGUGUUAAGUACCUUCACAUUGUUGCAUAAUCAAUAUCCAGAGCUCCUACAUUCUUGCACAUGUCUCUUGGGGCACCUUUGCAAGAGUUUCUCUAGGGCGUGUUUUAUGGGUAGAAUUGCUGGGGAGUUCCACCUAUGUGUGGAAUGCAUAGGUUUGCACAUGUUGAUUUAAUCAGUUAAGGCCAAACUCUUUUACAAAAUGGUUGCACCAAUUUAUAGUUCCAUAGGCAGGAUUUUUUUUUUAA
rnacentral:lncRNA from 1 species